CUCAGAUGCACCCGGAAGGCCAAGGGGCAUAAACAGAACCGCAAACCAGAGACACGGCCAAUGGCACAGCUUCCGAGCUGGUCUAGCUGAGAAUGGGGUUAGGAAGACGUUGGGAGGCACCAGGUUGUUGCCAAGAGUGAGGCCAAAGUUCAUUGGUCUCUGAGUGCACGUGUGGGUCACGCUGACCCAGCUUAUGGACUUUGCACACCAUCCCUACGGAGAAUUGUGCCAAUAACGGCCCCCCAUAGAAUUGCCCCCACCCUGUGACUUUGUUCUUCUGCUAUCACCAGGUAGAAUCUAUUUCGCCUCCCUUUGAAUCUGGGUUGGCCUUGUGAGUUGCUUUGACCAAUACGACAUGGCAGAAGUGAUGCUGGGCAACUUCUGAGGCUCGGCUCCUGCUUUCUCUCUUUUGGAAUGUUUCUCUGAUCGUGUGAAGAAACCCAGCAUGAAAGACCACAGGGAGAGAAAGGCCUAGGCAUCUGAGCCAUCCUAGACCACCCACUGAGGGGGGCCAUCAGCAGACUGCAGCUACAUGAGUGGGAACAGCAGAGGAACCACCCAGCCAAACUCACGGAUCUGUGAGAAAUAACAGGUCAUUGUUUUAAGUCACUAAGUUUUUGGAUGGUUUGUUACACAGCAACAGAUAGCUGAUACAUCCCUCUACCCUAUAAAUUUACUGCCCAAGUCUACAAAGGAUCUCUCAUGUUAGUCAAACUCAGAAUUGUGAGACCAAGAAUUACAAGUAUCUUAUAUAUUAAUAAUUAUACUCUCCAGAACCUCUUCACAUGUACUACCCAAUUUAAUGUCCUGACUAUCCAGUGAGCAAGGAGAAGAGGGCAUGUGGCGUAUCUCCAUUAAACAGGGGAGAAAACUGAGGCACAGAAAGAUAUGUGACUGCUCCAGGGUUACUCAGCAGAUUCAUGGAUGAUCCUGUGAAUAACAGCUCCUGGUGGCGAAUUUGAAACUUUGUUUUUAAAGAUGACAGUUUGUCACGGACAAAGAUGAUCAGACCUUUAUCGUUGGGUAGAGAGGGCUGUCCACUCUUCUCUGAGAAGUCCCAGCAUUUUGGUCACAACACUGAGCCCUCCCAGCCGGCCGGCCAGUGGGGGCCACGUCCAGAGGCUGUGUCCCCAAACUACCCCUGAUCAAAACUGGCAGGCAGGGGAGACUCCAGGAUCGCCAGAGGGAGGUGGUCAUCUCUGAGGAGUGGUCUUGGGCCCGGUCCCCAACCUGCAUCUCCAAAGCCAGCACAGUUUCACUUCCACUGUAGGGUAAAAAUCAGCAGGUGUUAUGGGCUGAAAUGGUGUCCCCCAAAUUCACAUUUUGAAAUUUUAAACCCCUGGUACCUCAGAACAUGACUCUAUUUGGAGACAGGGUCUUUAAAGAGGUAAUCAAGGUAAGAUGAGGUCAUAGGGUGGGCCCUAAUCCAAUACAACUUGUGUCCUUAUGGGAAGAGGAGAUGAGGACGCAGACAGGCACAGAGGGAGCCACAUGAAGACAAAGAGGAGAAGAGAGGCCUCGGAAGACACCAACCCUGUCAACACCUUGAUCUCAGACUUGGAGCCCCCAGGACGGUGAGGAAAUCCAUUUCUGCUGUGGAAGCCAUCUCGACAGUGGUACUGUUAUGGCCUCCUGAGUGAACGAACACACCCAGUUUCCUAGAGACACACUUUAAUGUAAGAUGGACAAAAUGGCCUUUGUACACAGCAAAGACUAUUACCUACUGGUGGUGGCUCAGAGGUAUGGGGCUGGUGGUGGUUAUGGGGGCCUUGGGUACCCCUACCCCCUGAGGUGCCACCACCGCAGGCUGCAUGUUAGCAUCCCUGGCCUUUCCAGCAGGCAAGGUGGAGAAGUAAUGUCAGCACCCACCCAGCAUGAGGAGCACCCAGGACUUGCCUCGCCAUGUGGCUUCCAAUUAACCUGUCAAGACUGCAGCCCUGUGUGAAGCUGCAGCCGGGCCCUGAGGCCUCCACCUGGUCUUGCCAGGCCUGUCUCCAGGGACCAUUUGGGACCCUGACACUCCUCUCAGUUCUCUGACUCCCAGACCACCUCUCCCAUCUCUGUCACCAGAGAUUCUGGCUGCUAAGUUUUGACUCCCCACCGCCAUCAGACCCUGGAGCGUGGUUGCUGGUCUGGGGGAGAUUGCCCGUCUCCACAUCCAUGCCCUUAGCCAAGCUUGAAGCCCUGGGCAUUCUUCCUCUCAGAGGCCACACCCCUCAAACGUAUCCAAAAGCAGCCACGUGCCACAUCACAUAUAAUUUUCAUAAACUAUAGGCGCUGAGUUGCAAUUGUCUAGUCAACCUUUUGUAGACAUUUAAUCAUUUCAUCCUUACAGCAUACUUUCCUAAUUUUAGAGCUGGUAAUGAUCCUGGCUGUGGCUCAGGUGUUUCCAUGGAUGUUUGAAAAGCUGGCUGGCCCUGGGCACCAGCUGUGGACCCAGCUGUGGGUAGUCCCGAGGGCCCUUCCCAGGAGGUACCAGCAUGCACUGGGUGUGCCUGACCCAAGAGGAGCCCUCCCAGCACCUGGUGGCCAGUUGCGAUGCCCCACCCCCCUUCCAGUGCUGCAGGGGAGAAGGAGGGGCACUUUUC
rnacentral:lncRNA from 1 species